rnacentral:lncRNA from 1 species
CGUGAAUCCAGAACCUUCUAUCCUUAUUUCUUUCUGCAGCAUCAGCGUUUUAAUCUAUUGCACUGACAGUAAUAUAUUGGCUUUCAUUCCAGGAUCCUGAUUGUGAAAACCCCAGAUGUAUGAAUGAGGACAGUCACCUUGAGAAGUAUCCCUGAGGUCUGGCAAGGAGAAGCUGCACAAUCUGUGCUGUACCACAGCGGCUGAAGGUUUUGGCUGCCAUCCUCUGCAGGGAAACGAAGGCACAGAGAUGCUAAAGGACACAUCCCAGCUUUAUAAUUUCCUACGUGCUGGAAGUAGGACAGAUGGAUGCUAUUAAAUGCUUAGCAUCACUUUCCCUGGAAGAGAAAAUGAAAUUCAGGAAGGUGGAUCAGGAAACCAGCAUUCUCCUGCCACAGGAGCCUAACCUGAGAGUCUGGAUUGAGAGCAGGAUAUUUUUUUCCAAGAUUGCCUUAAAACAAGACUGCCUGCCCCAAUGGCCCAAUGUCCAUGGCUGCUUGUUGCACAGACUAAUGUACUAUUUUGGAGGGAAUCUUCACUUUUCUCCUGCUGGAUUCUCUUCCCUGAGUUGUACUGUGACCUCUGACAGUCAGCAGGACUGGGGUCCAGGCAGCCUGUGAGAAACCUACUCAGGAAAGGUAGAGUUUCCCAAGCAGCUGUCUUUAAACCUUUCCUUCCCUUGGGGAAGAAUCAGUCAUCUUUCUUCAACCUAAGAAGAGAAAGCAGUUGAAUCUGUGUCCACACUAGAACAUAGUAUUCAGGCUAUGUAUCAAGUGAGAAAAUUAACUCAAUAAUUUCCUAAAUGUUCCCCAAAAAGCAGCAUCACUUACUUUCUCUCUUUCUCUCAGUAUCUCACUAACAAUCAUGUUUUCAACAGUUUAAUAAUGCAGAUCCAUUUCUGAAACUUCUGGUGUCUUAGAAAAACCUCUACACCUUUAGGGUGCACCUUUGUUUAAACAAUUGCUAAUGCUUUGCCUCUUGCUUCUGUCAUGAACUGAUUUUUCUUUGGAUGCCGAAGACGUUUCUCAAUUUCAAUUUUGAUUUAUCCCUUUCUUUUUCACUGGCAAGACCCCAGGGAAUAGGAUGACCCUCCAGAAGAAAUGUUGUUGACUGUCUCUGCAGCUUCAUUGGCAUUAUGGUCCAAAUCCCACAUUGGCUCUGGGUCAGCCAUUCAAGGUCAGGAACAGAGAGUACAUAAGAAAAUUAUGUAUAUUAAACAUUAUCCUUGUCUUUGGAUGCAGAAGGAUCUUGUUUUCUGAAAACUAAAUGUUGAGUCAGUUUAAUGUGGUGGGAUUCUGAUAUGCACAGAAACUUUUCCCUGGAUUUGUUGUUCCAAAUGCUUUUUUUCAGGAGGAAUUAGCAAUCUGAAUCUUCCAUUUUUAGCUAUUUCACUUCCCUAACCUUAAUUACCCAUAGCAGAGAUCCAGGAUGUAGAAGGAAACCUUUGGCAGCUUUCCUGGGAGACCCUCAAGAAGAGAGAGCUGAGCUGUGCCCUGCAGCCAUUGCCUGCUCCUGUGUGCUCCCAGAUCAAUAACUAAAAGGGUGCAAAGCCAGUUGGCCACCAGGGCAGCAGCAUCUCUCCCCACUAAUGAGGGUGACCUUUCCACCCACUGCUUCACAUGACUGAAAUCAGGGGAAAUUAGUUUACUCAGCCCAGAACUUAUAUAACUGGUGAUGCUCAGGCUGAAAUUCCUGCUCAUGGUGUGAUGAAUGCGUUGUGGAUCUAUUUGAAAAAUUGUAGAAAUCAGACUGAAGAUAAAAGGACUGGAACUAAACCAGCUAGAUCCUCUGUAGUUUCUGACAGAUAGGUGAAGAAUAAUGAUGUCUCCAAAGCGCCUGUCCUUCCGUUUGGAGAAUUACACAUUUAACUGUAAAAAAUCGCUGCUGCUGAACCAAAGGUCCUGCUGCUUACACCAUUUACAAAGGCCCUUAAAAUUAUGGAUGAGAACACAGUUCUGGGAAGAAAGGGAGACUGCUGUGUGGGUUGAAGGGUAGCAUUUAAAAGCUUUGCUCAUCCCAAAGCAGCCACAUCUCUUCUCAUUGGCUGUUAUACUCUAGCUCAAAAAGGGACCUUGAGAUAUUAAUUAUGUAUCCAGCUAGCUAUUUAAUCAAUCCAUUCAGUACUAAACUCUUACAUAGUAGCUGAUAUAUUUAUGGAAUACUGUAAAUAUUUUAAAUAAAAUGAAGAGGAGAUUUUAUGCCA